GGAGAUGGGAUUAAGAUGGCGGAAUAGGACUGGAGCUCAACUUCUCUCCUAAAAACAACAAAAUUCACAACUAAAGGCUGAGCAAUCUUUAAGCAAAUGGACCGGAAACCCAUACCCUACUCCAGAAGAAAAAGAGGAGGCCACAUCCACAGGUAGGAGGGGUGAUUUCAUAAUAUAAACAACCCCAUACCUCCCAGGUAGGAAGCUCCACAGACUGAAAACUAACUGGCUCACAGAGACUCACCUACACGAGUGAGAGUUCUGAGCCCCACAUCAAACCCUCACAUGCUGGGAUCUGUCACUGGGAGAAAGAGCCUCUGGAGCAUCUGGCAUUGAAGACCAGCAGGGCUUGUGCGCAGAAGCUCCGCAGGAAUGGGGGAAACGGAGACCCCAUUCUUAAAAGGCGUACACAGACUUUCACGUGCACUAGGUCCCAGGGAAGAAUGAGGUCUCCACAGGAACCUAGGUCAAUCCUGACUGCAGUUCUUGGAGGACAUCAUGGGAAAACAGGGGUGAAUGUAGCUUAUUGUGAGAGAAGGACAUUGGGAGCCAAGCUCUCAGGAAUAUUCAGCAGUUGCCUUUCUCUGGAGGUGGCCAUUUUGGGAAAAUCUGGCCCCACCCAUCAGUCAGUGCUGAGAAGCCCCAGGGCAAACAACAAUCCAGGUGGGAUAACAGCCCCACCCCUCAGUAAACAGGCUAUCUAAAGAGCCUCAGGCACACAGCAGCCCCUAAUCCCAUCCAGAGACUAAGCCCCACCCACCAGAGGGAUUAGAAUUGGCUCCACCUUCCAGUGGGCAGGCAUCAGCCUCUCCCAUCAGGAAGCCUACAGCAAGCCCCCCAUACCGACUUCAGCCACAAGGGGUGCAGACACCAGAAGCAAAAGAGGCUACAACUUUAUUACAUGUAAAAAGGUCACCACACCAAAAACCUAUAAAAAUGAAAAGACAGAGAACUAAAACUCAGAUGAGGGAGAAAGGAAAAACCCCAGAAAAUCAGCUAAGCAAUAAGAAGAUUCUCAGCCUCCAGGAAAAAGACUUUAGACUGUCAAUGCUGAAGAUGAUGCAAGACAUUGGAAAUAAACUGGAGGCAAAGAUGGAUAACUUACAGGAAACACUGACCAAGGAGAUACAAGAUAUAAAACUUAAACAAGAAGAGAUGCAACAUACAAUCACUGAAAUAAAAAAUUCACUAGAAGCAGCUAACAGCAGAAUACAGGAGGCAGAAGAACGAAUAAGUGAGGUGGAGGACAGAUUAGAAGAAAUUACAGAUGCAGAACAGAAAAGAGAAAAAAAGGUUGAAAAAAAAUGAAGAGAGUCUCAGGGAACUCUAGGACAAUGUUAAAUGCACCAACAUCCAUAUUAUAAGGGUGCCAGAAGGAGAAGAGAGAGAGAAGGGGACAGAAAAAAUAUUCCAAGAGACAAUAGCCGAAAAUUUCCCUAACAUGGGAAAGGAACCACUCACUCAAAUCCAGGAGGCACAACAAGUACCAUAUAAAAUAAACCCAAGGAGGAACACACCGAGAUGCAUAAUAAUCAAACUGACCAAAAUUAAAGAGAAAAUAUGGAAAACAGCUAGGGAAAAGAAACAAGGAACAUACAAGGGAACCCCAGUAAGGUUAUCAGCAGAUUUUUCAGCAGAAACUCUGCAGGCCAGAAGGGAGUGGCAUGACAUACGUAACAUGAUGAAAGGAAAAAACCUCCAACCAAGAUGACUUUACCCAGCAAGGCUCUCAUUCAGAUUUGAAGGAGAAAUCAAAACCUUCUCAGAUAAGCAAAAGCUGAGAGAAUUCAGCAACGCUAAACCAGCCUUACAACAAAUACUACAGGAACUUCUCUAGGCAGGAAAGAAAAGAUCAGCAACAGGAAACAAAAAUUCCAGAAAUGACAAGACUCACCAGUAAAGGUAUAUGUACAGUAAAGAUACGAAAUCAUCCAUGCACAAUUAUACCACAAAAUCAGAAAUCAUGAGAAGAGGUGGGUACAAGUGCAGGACACUGGAGAUGAACUUGCAAUUAACAAAACAACUUAAAACAAUCUCAUAUACAUAUAGACUCAUAUCAAAACUUCAGAAUAACUGCAAACCAAACAUCUACAAUUGAUAAAGAAAAAUCAACUCAAAUACAACAAUAAAGAUAGUUGUCAAACCAGAAGAGGACAGAACAAGAGAAUAAGGGAAGAAAAAGGAACAACAAAAACAAAUCCAAAGCAAUUAAUAAAAUGGCAAUAAGAACAUACAUAUCAAUAAUUACCCUAAAUGUUAAUGGACUAAAUGCCCCAACCAAAAGACAUAGACUGGUUGAAUGGAUACAAAAACAAGAUCUAUAUAUAUGCUGUCUUCAAGAGACCCAUUUCGCUUCUAGGGACACAUACAAAUUGAAAGUGAGAGGAUGGAAGAAAAUAUUUCAUGCAAACAGGGAUCAAAAGAAAGCUGGAGUAGCAAUACUCACAUCAGACAAAAUAGACUUUAAAAUGAAGAAUAUUUUAAGGGACAAAGAAGGUCAUUACAUAAUGAUCAAAGGAUCAAUCUAAAAAGAAGAUAUAACAAUUUUAAAUAUCUACGCACCCAAUGUAGGUUCACCACAAUAUAUAAGGCCACUGCUAACAAUCUUAAAUGACAAAUCUACAAUAACAUGAUAAUAAUGGUGGACUUUAACACCCCACUUACAGCAAUGGACAGAUCAACCAGACAGAAAAUCAAUAAGGAAACACAGGCCCUGAAUGAAGCAUUAAACCAGAUGGACUUAAUAGAUAUUUAUAGGACAUUCCAUCCAAAAGCAACAGAAUACACAUUCUUCUCAAGUGCACAUGGAACAUUCUCUAAGAUUCAUCACAUCCUGGGCUACAAAUCCAACCUGGGUAAUUUUAAGAAAAUUGAAAUCAU
rnacentral:lncRNA from 1 species